CCUGAACGCUGGCGGCGUGGUUAAGACAUGCAAGUCGUGGGGCAGCGCAGUGUAGCAAUACAUGGGCGGCGACCGGCAAACGGGUGCGGAACACGUACGCAACUUACCCAAAACUGGGGGAUAGCCCGGGGAAACCCGGAUUAAUACCCCGUAACAUAAUGAAGUGGCAUCACUUUAUUAUUAUAGCUCCGGCGGUUUUGGAUGGGCGUGCGCCUGAUUAGGUAGUUGGCGGGGUAACGGCCCACCAAGCCACGAUCAGUAACUGGUGUGAGAGCACGACCAGUCACACGGGCACUGAGACACGGGCCCGACUCCUACGGGAGGCAGCAGUAAGGAUAUUGGUCAAUGGUCGAAAGACUGAUCCAGCCAUGCCGCGUGCAGGAUGACAGCCCUA
rnacentral:rRNA from 1 species